rnacentral:rRNA from 1 species
UAUACAUGAGCAAAAUCUCAACUUUAUUAGAAGAGACGCAUUUAUUAGAUAAAAAGCCAAUGCAUGCUUUUACAGUAUGGAAAUUGGUGAUUUAUAAUAACUUGGCAAAUCGCAAAGUGAAAACAGGCGAUAAAUCAUUCAAGUUUCUGACCUAUCAGCUUUCGACGGGAUGGUAUUGGCUUACCGUGGCAGUGACGGUUAACGGGGGAUUAGGGUUCGAUUCCGGAGAGGGAGCCUGAGAAACGGCUACCACAUCUAAGGAAGGCAGCAGGCGCGCAAAUUACCCAAUUCUAACAGUUUGAGAGAGGUAGUAACAAGAAAUAACAAUACAAGGCAAUUAAAAUGUUUUGUAAUUGGAAUGAUAGAAAUUUAAACCCUUUUUAAAGUAUCAAUUGGAGGGCAAGUCUGGUGCCAGCAGCCGCGGUAAUUCCAGCUCCAAUAGCGUAUAUUAAAAUUGUUGCAGUUAAAAAGCUCGUAAUUGAAGUUCUGCUAAAAGUAACCGGUCUGCUUUUAAUAAAAGUGGUAUCUUGGUGUGUAUUUAGCAAUGAUGUCCUUUGAAGUGUUUUUUACUUUAUUGUAAUAAAGCAUAUUCAGGACUUUUACUUUGAGAAAAUUAGAGUGUUUCUAGCAGGCCGACGCUUUGAAUACUGCAGCAUGGAAAUAAUAAGA